UACAGAGGUCCCGAGCGUUGUUCGGAUUCACUGGGCGUAAAGGGUGCGUAGGCGGACAUGUAAGUCCGUGGUGAAAUCUCUAAGCUUAACUUGGAAACUGCCAUGGAUACUAUAUGUCUUGAAUGUUGUGGAGGUUAGCGGAAUAUGUCAUGUAGCGGUGAAAUGCAUAGAUAUGACAUAGAACACCAAUUGCGAAGGCAGCUGGCUACACAAAUAUUGACGCUGAGGCACGAAAGCGUGGGGAUCAAACAGG
rnacentral:rRNA from 1 species